rnacentral:rRNA from 1 species
GACGAACGCUGGCGGCGUGCCUAAUACAUGCAAGUUGAGCGCUGAAGGUUGGUACUUGUACCAACUGGAUGAGCAGCGAACGGUUGAGUAACGCGUGGGGAAUCUGCCUUUGAGCGGGGGACAACAUUUGGAAACGAAUGCUAAUACCGCAUAAAAACUUUAAACACAAGUUUUAAGUUUGAAAGAUGCAAUUGCAUCACUCAAAGAUGAUCCCGCGUUGUAUUAGCUAGUUGGUGAGGUAAAGGCUCACCAAGGCGAUGAUACAUAGCCGACCUGAGAGGGUGAUCGGCCACAUUGGGACUGAGACACGGCCCAAACUCCUACGGGAGGCAGCAGUAGGGAAUCUUCGGCAAUGGACGAAAGUCUGACCGAGCAACGCCGCGUGAGUGAAGAAGGUUUUCGGAUCGUAAAACUCUGUUGGUAGAGAAGAACGUUGGUGAGAGUGGAAAGCUCAUCAAGUGACGGUAACUACCCAGAAAGGGACGGCUAACUACGUG